UGAUGUGAAGCUGGAAGGUUACCAGACCGGCGAACAGAUCAGGGAUAUUCCGAUUGCAAUCUGACAUGAGUAAGUAGGGCGGUAGCCCGGAAUACGAAUAUCAGUACGGUUUCGUGAGUGCGAAGCACGGAGAAACCGGUUAUUAUCA
rnacentral:sRNA from 1 species